CCAACGUGGAUACUCUCGGGAGGUCUCUCCCCGGGCUCUGUCCAGGUGGCAUAGGGGAGCAUAGGGCUCUGCCCCAUGAUGUACAGUCCCUUUCCACAACGUUGGAGAUGAAGCUGGGCUUUAUGUCUGCACCUGCAUAUUCCUACGACUUCUCAGAGUCUGUGGACUAUGACUGAGGAGACAAACCAUGCAGGAAACAAAA
rnacentral:snoRNA from 17 species